GGGUGAUUUGCUUCCUCAGAAUGAAGAAGUGCAGUUCCUUGAGAAUGAGCUGCAGAGCCAGAAACAGAAGUUCUCGAAGCUGAAGAGCUUCACCAGAAGCCUGCUGAUCGCUGUGAAAAACAAAGACAGACAGAAACAGCGGGAGCUGUUAGCCAGUCUACCUCAGAGAGUGAAUGAGGACUGGGACCUGGGGCUGGAGAACCACAGCGAGUCUGGUGUAGAGACGCCCACCGUCCAGAGAGAGUCCUCUGCAUCAGAGGAGGAGGACACGGAUCAGAUGAGACUGUGAACAAACGCAGGGCAGCUUCCACCUCUUCUGUUCCUCACACAUGCCACAUAGUGCCUGUGGAAACAAAAAACCAACUGUUGGGUCCCACGGGUCAUUUUCUACAGCAUAUGUCAUAUCAGACUGCCUUGGCCCGGUCCAGUACUAUCAAAUAAAUGCCACUAAAUCAACACAA